CUCCUACGGGAGGCAGCAGUGAGGAAUAUUGGACAAUGGGCGCAAGCCUGAUCCAGCCAUGCCGCGUGCAGGAAGACGCAUCUAUGGAGUGUAAACUGCUUUUGUACGGGAAGAAACACUUCUACGUGUAGGAGCUUGACGGUACCGUAAGAAUAAGGAUCGGCUAACUCCGUGCCAG
rnacentral:rRNA from 1 species